GCUAAGUAAGGGCGUAUGGGGAAUGCCUAGGCUCUCAGAGGCGAUGAAGGACGUGAUAAGCUGCGAAAAGCUGCGGGGAUCGGCACACACGAUAUGAUCCGCAGGUAUCCGAAUGGGGCAACCCGUUAUAUUGAAGGUAUAACAUCCGCAAGGAGGCAAACCCGGGGAACUGAAACAUCUAAGUACCCGGAGGAAAGGACAUCAAUUGAUACUCCCCUAGUAGCGGCGAGCGAACGGGGACCAGCCGAGCUGUGAGUGUGAAUAGAAUGGCAUGGAAUGGCCAACCAGAGUGGGUGACAGUCCCGUAUAUGAAGCAUGAUCAGACGUAUUAAGUAGGGCGGAACACGUGAAAUUCUGUCUGAAGAUCGGAGGACCACCUUCGAAGGCUAAGUACUCCUUACUGACCGAUAGCGAACCAGUACCGUGAGGGAAAGGUGAAAAGCACCCCGACGAGGGGAGUGAAACAGUACCUGAAACCGAACGCCUACAAUCAGUCGGAGCUUG
rnacentral:rRNA from 1 species